rnacentral:rRNA from 1 species
AAGGGGAUAACCCCGGGAAACUGGGGAUAAUACCCUAUAGAUUAGAGAUGCUGGAAUGCCCUGUAAUCCAAACUUCCGACGCCCUACCAUGGAUGUGCGGCCGAUUAGGUUGUUCUUGGGGUAAUGGCCCAACAAGCCCGUAAUCGGUACGGGUUGUGGGAGCAAGAGCCCGGAGUUCCAUUCUCAGACACGAAUCCAGGCCCUACGGGGCGCACCAGGCGCGAAAACUUUACAAUGCGGGCAACCGUGAUAAGGGAACCUCGAGUGGGUGUAAAUGCAGGCUGUUCAGGUGCCUAAAAGACAGGUGAAGAAAGGGCCGGGCAAGACCGGUGCCAGCCGCCGCGGUAAUACCGGCGGCCGAGUGGUGGCCGCUUUUAUUGGGCUUAAAGCGUUCCUAGCUGGGUUGUUAAGUCUCUUGGGAAAUCUGGCGGCUUAACCGUCAGGCGUGUAAGGGAUAGUGGCAAUCUGGAACCGGGAGACCUGAGGGGUACUUCGGGGGUAGGAGUGAAAUCCUGUAAUGGUCGAGGGACCACCUGUGGCGAAGGCGCCUCAGGAGAACGGCUUCGACAGUGAGGGACAAGCUGGGGAGCAAACCGAUUCCAUACCCGGGUAGUCCCAGCCGUAAACUAUGCGCGUUACCUGUAUCGGUGACCACGAGUUACCGAGGUGCCGAAGGGAAAGGGUGAAACGUGCCGCCUGGGAAGUACGGUCGCAAGGCUGAAAGUUAAAGGAAUUGGCGGGGGAGCACCACAACAGGUGGAGCCUGCGGUUUAUUGGAACGCCGGGAAGCUCACCGGAUAAGAGAGGAGAAUCAUUGCCGGGCUGAAGACUCUGCAUGACUAGCUCAGAGGAGGUGCAUGGCCGUCGUCAGUUCGUACUGUGAAGCAUGGUGUUAAGUCAGGCAAGGAGGAAGACCCACGCCAACAGUUGGGAGCAUGGUCUCCGGAGU